rnacentral:rRNA from 1 species
UCGGGUAAAUACGUGCCAGCAGCCGCGGUAAGACGUAGGAUGCGAGCGUUGUCYGGAUUUAUUGGGGGUAAAGAGUUYGUAGGGGGUUUGUUAAAUUUGGUGUUAAAGAUUGGGGCUCAAAACUGAAACUGCACUGAAUACUGGCAGACUCGAGUGUGGUAGAGAGGGGUGGAAUUCCCAGUGUAGCGGUGAAAAAUGUAGAUAUUGGGAAGAACACCGGUGGGGUGAAGGACUUCCUGGGCCAUAACUGACACUGAGGAACGAAAGCCAGGGGAGAGCAUGGGAUUAUUUACCCCAGUAGUCCUGGCCGUAAACGAUGGAUACU